CGUACGGUACCGUCAGCCCCCUACACGUAGGAGGGUUUCUUCUCGUACAAAAGAAGUUUACAACCCAUAGGGCCGUCAUCCUUCACGCGGCAUGGCUGGUUCAGGCUUUCGCCCA
rnacentral:rRNA from 1 species